rnacentral:rRNA from 1 species
AAAACUAGGAGUUUGAUCGUGGCUCAGAUUGAACGCUGGCGGCAUGCUUUACACAUGCAAGUCGAACGGCAGCGGGGGCUUCGGCCUGCCGGCGAGUGGCGAACGGGUGAGUAAUACAUCGGAACGUGUCCUUAAGUGGGGAAUAACGCAUCGAAAGAUGUGCUAAUACCGCAUAUCUCUGAGGAGAAAAGCAGGGGAUCGCAAGACCUUGCGCUAAAGGAGCGGCCGAUGUCUGAUUAGCUAGUUGGUGGGGUAAAGGCUUACCAAGGCAACGAUCAGUAGUUGGUCUGAGAGGACGGCCAACCACACUGGGACUGAGACACGGCCCAGACUCCUACGGGAGGCAGCAGUGGGGAAUUUUGGACAAUGGGCGAAAGCCUGAUCCAGCCAUGCCGCGUGAGUGAAGAAGGCCUUCGGGUUGUAAAGCUCUUUUAGUCGGAAAGAAAGAGUUGCAAUGAAUAAUUGUGAUUUAUGACGGUACCGACAGAAAAAGCAACCGGGCUAAACUACGUGCCAGCCGCCGCCGUAA